AUACGUAUGGGGCGAGCGUUGUCCGGAAUGAUUGGGCGUAAAGGGUACGUAGGCGGUUAAUUAAGUCGAGUGUGAAAGGUUGGGGCUCAACCCCAUAAAGCAUUCGAAACUGGUUAACUUGAGAUGUGGAGAGGAAAGUGGAAUUCCUAGUGUAGCGGUGACAUGCGUAGAUAUUAGGAGGAAUACCAGUAGCGAAGGCGACUUUCUGGACACAUACUGACGCUGAGGGACGAAAGCGGGGGGAGCAAACAGGAUGAGAUACCCGGGUAGUCCACGCCGUAAACGAUGAAUGCUAGGUGUCGGGGGUCAAACCUCGGUGCCGCCGCUAACGCAUUAAGCAUUCCGCCUGGGGAGUACGCACGCAAGUGUGAAACUCAAAUGAAUUGACGGGG
rnacentral:rRNA from 1 species